GACGAACGCUGGCGGCGUGCUUAACACAUGCAAGUCGAACGGAAAGGCCCUGCUUUUGUGGGGUGCGCGAGUGGCGAACGGGUGAGUAACACGUGAGUAACCUGCCCUUGACUUUGGGAUAACCUCAGGAAACUGGGGCUAUUACCGGAUAGGAGCUCCUGCUGCUUGGUGGGGGUUGGUAAGUUUCGGCGGUUGGGGAUGGACUCGCGGCUUAUCAGCUUGUUGGUUGGGUAGUGGCUGACCAAGGCUUUGACGGAUAGCCGGCCUGAGAGGGUGACCGGCCACAAUGGGACUGCGAGACGGCGCAGAGGGCAACGGGGGGCAGCGGGGGGGAAUAUUGCACAGUGGGGGGAAGCCUGAUGCAGCAGCGCCGGGUGCGGGAUGACGGCCUUCUGGUUGUGAACCGAUUUCGCCUGUGCCGAAGCGUGAGUGACGGUAAUGGGUAAAGAAGCACCGGCUAACUACGUG
rnacentral:rRNA from 1 species